rnacentral:rRNA from 1 species
AGCGUAGGCGGAUUUUUAAGUGGGAUGUGAAAUACCCGGGCUCAACCUGGGUGCUGCAUUCCAAACUGGAAGUCUAGAGUGCAGGAGAGGAAAGUGGAAUUCCUAGUGUAGCGGUGAGAUGCGUAGAGAUUAGGAAGAACACCAGUGGCGAAGGCGACUUUCUGGACUGUAACUGACGCUGAGGCUCGAAAGCGUGGGGAGCGAACA